GCCAUAGCUCAGUUGGUUAUUAGAGCGUGGUGCUGAUAAUGCCAAGGUUGCAGGUUCGAUUCCCAUAUGGGGCGGCU